GAGACCUUCAGGUCAGGCGUGGCUACCCGCUGAAUUUAAGCA
rnacentral:rRNA from 1 species